AGGCAGAUCCAAUUUUCUGCCACCGAAUACAUUAGCAUGGGAUAAUGGAAUAGGACCCUGUCCUCCUAUUUUCAGUUGGUUUUGGCAGCGCGAGGACUAGGGUAAUGAUUAAUAGGGAUAGUUGGGGGCAUUAAUAUUUAAUUGUCAGAGGUGAAAUUCUUGGAUUUAUGAAAGAUUAACUUCUGCGAAAGCAUCUGCCAAGGAUGUUUUCAUUAAUCAAGAACGAAAGUUAGGGGAUCGAAGACGAUCAGAUACCGUCGUAGUCUUAACCAUAAACGAUGCCGACCAGCGAUUAGGAGACGUUGAAUACAAAACACCACCAUCGGUGCGGUCGUCCUUGGCGUCUCGGUCCUUCACGGGGCCGGGGCGCGGGGGCGGCUUAGCCCGGUGGCACCGGUGAAUGACUCCCCUAGCAGCUUG
rnacentral:rRNA from 1 species